GACGAACGCUGGCGGCGUGCUUAACACAUGCAAGUCGAACGGUGAAGCGCCUUCCUUUUUGGUGGGUGUGGAUGAGUGGCGAACGGGUGAGUAACACGUGAGUAACCUGCCCCCUUCUUCUGGAUAACCGCAUGAAAGUGUGGCUAAUACGGGAUAUUCUGGGUCUGUCGCAUGAUGGGUCUGGGAAAGAUAUUGUUUCGGUGGGGGAUGGGCUCGCGGCCUAUCAGCUUGUUGGUGGGGUGAUGGCCUACCAAGGCGGUGACGGGUAGCCGGCCUGAGAGGGUGGACGGUCGCACUGGGACUGAGACACGGCCCAGACGCCUACGGGAGGCAGCAGUGGGGAAUAUUGCACAAUGGGCGCAAGCCUGAUGCAGCGACGCCGCGUGAGGGAUGGAGGCCUUCGGGUUGUGAACCUCUUUCGCCAGUGAAGCAGGCCUGCCUCGUUUGUGGGUGGGUUGACGGUAGCUGGAUAAGAAGCGCCGGCUAACUACGU
rnacentral:rRNA from 1 species